rnacentral:misc_RNA from 1 species
AACGCACAUUGCGCCCCCUGGUAUUCCGGGGGGCACACCUGUUCGAGCGCCAUUUCACCCCUCGAGCCCUGCUCGGUGAUGGGCCCCGUCCUCGCGGAUGGGCCCGAAACUCGUAGGCGCCGUCGUCCGGCCCUAAGCGUAGCAAGAGAAAUCCCUCGCUUGGUGGACCGUCCGGUGGUAGCCCUGACAACUUUUUUUUACAAGGUUGGCCUCGGAUCAGGUGGGGAUACCCGCUGAACUUAA